UUUAAAGGGUGCGUAGGCGGUUUGAUAAGUUAGAGGUGAAAUUUCGGGGCUCAACCCUGAACGUGCCUCUAAUACUGUUGAGCUAGAGAGUAGUUGCGGUAGGCGGAAUGUAUGGUGUAGCGGUGAAAUGCUUAGAGAUCAUACAGAACACCGAUUGCGAAGGCAGCUUACCAAACUAUAUCUGACGUUGAGGCACGAAAGCGUGGGGAGCAAACAGGAUUAGAUACCCUGGUAGUCCACGCAGUAAACGAUGAUAACUCGUUGUCGGCGAUACACAGUCGGUGACUAAGCGAAAGCGAUAAGUUAUCCACCUGGGGAGUACGUUCGCAAGAAUGAAACUCAAAGGAAUUGACGGGGGCCCGCACAAGCGGAGGAACAUGUGGUUUAAUUCGAUGAUACGCGAGGAACCUUACCCGGGCUUGAAAGUUACUGACGAUUCUGGAAACAGGAUUUCCCUUCGGGGCACGAAACUAGGUGCUGCAUGGUUGUCGUCAGCUCGUGCCGUGAGGUGUCGGGUUAAGUCCCAUAACGAGCGCAACCCCUACCGUUAGUUGCCAUCAGGUGAAGCUGGGCACUCUGGCGGGACUGCCGGUGUAAGCCGAGAGGAAGGUGGGGAUGACGUCAAAUCAGCACGGCCCUUAC
rnacentral:rRNA from 1 species